UUUCCGUAGGUGAACCUGCGGAAGGAUCAUUAAUGUAUAACCGAUGUUCAAGGCCCGUUGAUGACCCUACAUGUCGUGCACGCGCGCAUGCUCUCACACCCAUCCACCUCCCCCCUAUCUGCACCACCUCGCGUCUCCUCCUUUGGCUAGAUCGGCGGGGGGCUUACGUUUUCUCGCCAGCUUAAUAUGCUGUAUAGCAUGUAUUUUUAGAUAUCUUGAUCACGCAAUCAAUACAACUUUCAACACGGGAAAUCUUGCCUCUCGCAUCGAUGACGAACG
rnacentral:misc_RNA from 1 species